rnacentral:lncRNA from 1 species
AAAAAACAAAACAAUGCUAAAUUCCGAGAAAAGGUUUUCCAAUUUCUCCACUUUUCUCUCCAAUUGUGGAUAGCAAGAAGAGGUAGCAAGAGUAAUUUUUGUGAAAUAAUUUGCCAAUCGAUGUGAUGCUACACAUCCAGACCCGUAGUCGCCCGUCAAUUCUCUUUCCAAUUCCCAACUGUCUGCAAAUCCUGGUAUGCACUCAUAGUUACAACUUACAAGCACUAAUUUAUCAAUAAUCACAUCAAUCAAACUUGAAGCAGCAGUAUCAAAGAUUGGGUUCUUUUAAUGAAACACAUGGUCAAAGCCAACCAUAACAAUUAUUGGUGGUGUAAGAUAAACAAGGGUAAAAUGGCUAAUAGUUUUUUUUCUUUUAAAAGAGAUGGUGGAUCGUGGGAUUAAGCCUAAUGUGGUUACUUAUAAUGUGAUUUUGAAUGAAAUUUGUAAAAGGUGUAGUUUACAUCUAGAGGAUUAGCUUGAGAGGACAAUUCAAGAAACACAGAAGGUGUUUGAGAAAAUGUGUAUAAGAGAAUUAGAGCCUAUAGUAAUGAGUUAUUCUAUUUCGCUUCAUGUUUAUCCAGUAUGCACACCUAUAGUAUAUUAGCUGGGAUGUUUACAAAGUUAAAUUGCAAGGAGAUUAUAAAAGAGAUUUGGGGUGAUAUGAAGGUGUGUAGGUCUGGGCAUGAUUUACAUUGUUAAUUCAUGUAUCGUGCAAGAAACAAAAGUGGAAGGAAGCCUGCCAGUUUUUUUAGAGAUGAUAAAAAGGGUAUUCUUCCAUAGAAAGUCACUUUUGAGACAUUCUACCAAAAUUUAUUAUAAUCUGGUCUUUAGGUGCUGGGUUACAAGAGAUGUUAUACUAUAUAUGAAAGUGGUUAAUUCAUUUGGAAACCAGAACCAAUCCGGUUCCCCCUGCAAAUGGGUCAUUUUCCUACAAUUGGAAUUAUCAGAGCAAUCGGAAUUUUGUUCCACGGGUAAGGAAUCCGGUUGCCCGUCUUUGGUUCCAAUAUAAUUCCACAGUUAAGGUGGUUUGGACAGCUAAAGAGGAUGCAAUUGUGGAGGAAUAUCUUGUAAAAUUUGCCUCUAAUUGUAACAUUGCCGUUAUGCAAAGAUAUAUAAGUUGGUACAGGAUAAGUUAGUGCGAGAUGUAGCGGUGCGCUGCAAAAUGCAUAUGGUAUUACAUGGAACGGUAAAGUUACGAAUUAGCUUGACCAGUUAUAAACGAUAACCUUAGCGGCGAAGUGAGAUUAUACAAGGAAGUUUCGAUGAGCGCUUCAUGAUGAACAAAACUAGAGGCAAGUUUUCUCAGUUUAUUUAUGUGUUUACUUGUUUUAUGUUUACAAGUAUGUGAGCAUUUAUGAUUUGUUGAUGAUACUUGGUGAAUGAUUAAAGUCAAUAUAUGACUAAGGUGAUUUGAGUUAUGGAACUUAAUUUGUUUAAAACAUGUAAUAUGCAGAUGAUGAUAAGUUGAGUGUUAAAAGUAUUAUUUGAAUAUGAGGCUAUGUGCUACAUGAUGCAUGAUAGACUGUUAAAUUUGCUGAGUUGUCGAGCUCAAUCUUGCAAAAAUAAAAUUUUUUGCAGGUACAUGAUUCAAUGCUAUAAUGGUUAACAUCUGGAUGAUAUGGUUAAGAAGACGAGCAAAGGAAUACUGUUUCUUUUAGUUGAAACUUAGAUGAUACUAUGAUAAUAUUGUACAAGAUACAUGUGUUUAAAUUUCUGAGAUAUUCAAUAAAAGUAGAAUAUUUGUUUAAAGUAUGUUGUGAUGAUUUCUUUAUUAAGUGAACAAAAUGUGGUAAUAGUAUUAUACAAGAAAGAUUGUAAUAAGAAUGAGUUUGUAUUUACUUUGAUAAAGGAAUCAUUAAAUGAAAUUAAUUCCGCAAUAUAUGUAAUCGUAAAGGUUGCGAUUUAGGGAAUAAAUGGAAGACAGACAGAAAAGUUUUAAGUUAUCCACAUUUUCAGCUGUUAUUACAGUUAAUUAUGAUGUAAAGCUAAAACAAGGUAGUAUUAACGCACAAGAUCGGGAAGGGAAAUGGUCCCGAUUUUGGGGGCGUUACAAAUUACAUAUAUCUUGGUUACUGUAUAAUAUGUAUUUAGAUACUGUAAGGUGUUUAUUUGGUUACUCUAUAAUGUUAUUGAGUUUAUAAUUGUUUCUUUUAUAUUGGUGGUUACUUAUUGACUACAUUGGUUACCUUCAUACAACUGUUAAUCUGAUUAUAUAUAUUGGAAGUUGUAUACUAUUUAAUUGGUUACAGUAUAAUGAUUAUUUGAUUGCAGUGACAAUUUGGCAAUUUUUAUGAAGUUUGAAGUGUCAGACUUUAGCGUUUUUGUAAGACCCCAACUUAUUAUUUAAUGAAAUUAAAUUUCUUCUAUUUAUUAUCUUGAAAUAGUAAGGGUUGAUUUGAUUAAUGUGGUAAGUUAUGGGUAAAAUGCGCAAUUAUUUCAAACAAGCAAGUGGUUUUAAAAUAUUCAUUGUUAACGGGGAAUAUUCGUUUGGUCGUUGAAUAUUUUUACUGUCGGGGAAUAUUCGUACGACGGCGCAACCUUGUGUGGGCCUCAUAACGGAAAGCGAUUGGAUGAAGAAAACGACAAAAAUAAGUUAUAACGGCGUAGUUGUUACUGUUAAUACUGUUGGAAUACCCGGUGGUUAAAACACAGUAGCACGCGGUAUUACACCAAUUAUUGAUUCUUACGUAAGAAGGCACUACUCAAUAAUUGUUACAGUAAUUACUGUUCAGUAUUUUAUUUUAUUGAUUCAAUAAUUGCUGCGUUGAUAUUUUAUAUUGCUGUUGUUUCAAUAAUUGUCAUUACACAGUAUUUUUCAUUAUCGAAGCAAUAAUUCAUAUUAUCUGAAUAAUAUUAUUAGAUAACAUUAUUGGCAAUGUCUAGAAAGUUCUGUCUAAGGAGAGGUUUGGUCACCUAAUUGCGCGCCAGUAAGGAGAAAUCCUUAUUGGAAAGCCCCCUCUUUCUUGGGAACUGCCUGGUUGUCAGUAAUGUGAUUCUGUAAUAUUAUUUGUGAAUAAUUAAUUAUUGAUUUAUAUGAUGAGGAAAAUAUUGAUUUUAUGCGGAUAUAGAUGGAGAAAAUUUUUUAAUGUGACAAUUGUUGAAAAUUAAUAUUUUAUCUUUUUCUGAUAAAAUAAUUCAUUUAAAUAUAUUAUUUUAAUAAUAUAUUAAUGGUGAUAUUUUUACAAUGAAUGUGAGAUAUAUGAGUAUAUGAGGAGAAAGAGUAUUUUUAUGGCAUUAAAUUAUUAACACAUGUUUUGUGUGUCGGUAGACCCUAAUUCUUGACCGAAAUUUGAUUAUAGCAUGUAAAAUCGCCCAUUUAUGGAUUUCGGUCAAUUUCUGUUUGGAAUUUGGAAAAACUUUCUUCUGCAAAGUUAUAGAGAAUGAAAUUUCCUAUAGAAAGGACAUGUGGUUCGAAUUUUUCUGAUAAAAGAGCUAUUUAUUAUGAAUUAUUGAAGUUCCUUAGUUCCGAAAUAAUUGAUUUUUGAAAGUUUUAAUUAUUUUUAAUUACAAAAACGUUUUUUUUUGCUUGGUGGGUUGCAUUAAACAUGUGCAAGGUGGCUGAAUUCAGAUUCAAGAGGUGGGCUUGAUAAUUUUGUAAAUAUAAUAAUAUUAUAUUAAAUUUUCUUCUUUGGUGUUCUAAGCAUUUUCCUAUAAAUAGGGUGCUUAGGUUAGAAUUGAAAAUCACACCAAAAACUGAAAUCUUCUCUCUUUCUCUCUCGAUAUAUUGAGCGUAUUCUUGUGAGUAUUUUAAUACUUUGAGUGUUUCUAUACGGUGCAAGUUCAAGUCAUAGCCUAUAUCCGGUGUUUCAACUAGAAGUACUAUCUUUUCGAGGUAAGGGGUGUUAUUUUCUUUUUAAAUGAUAUUAUUUUCUUCAAUAUCAUUAUGCCGAAAUAUUGGUUUGAACCUUUAAUCAAAUUUAGAACUUUUUGUGUCGGGGUUAUAUUCACGUAUACGGCACUGUUCACGAAUACGGCACUAUUCAUCAAAAAAUAAAAAUUUUCUUUUUCGUCCAAAAUAUCUAUUAUGGAUACUAGCUUUGAUUGUAUCCAUGUUUUGAUCAUUCUUGAAUUUCACUUCACUAUGAUUAUUUAUGAGGUAUUUUUGGACAUGAAAUAGCUGAAAUACGAAUCCUUGAUGUUUAUUCUUUUGUUUCACUGGAUUCGUUUCCUUUAAAAUAUUUUUCAUCAUCCUCAGUCCUAAAUGAUGAUAUUAUUGAAUAUCUUUAGCCUGUAGUGCAAAGAUAAAAGAUUUUAUAAUGAAUAUCUUUGACCCGUAGUGCAAAGAUGAACAUGUGUUGAGAUGAACAUGACCGACUGAUGAAUAUUUUUGACCUGUAGUGCAAAGAUGAAUAUUUGAUUCAAGAUAUAUAUUGAUUGAUGUUACAGGGAUAAAAUAUUGAUGAUGGACUUUUAAAUUCAUAGAUAAUAGUAGAUUUCAUUCUCUACGUAACUCUUCUAUGAAUUAUUAUUUUCGCUGCGAAUAUUGAUCUAAAACUUGUUGUCUAUUGUAUUCUAUCAGAUUUUUCCCUGUUGAAGACUAACGAUAAUUUGUUCUAUAUUAUCUUAGUCAUAAUAUUCUUUACUGGACUAGUUGAGCUCACCCUUUUCCUUUUUGUUCUAUUUUUCUUCUCAGGAGGCGAGAAUGUAGCGAGUACUAGUCGGGGUAUGGAAUGAUGAUUCUAGAAGUUGUUUAGUAGUCCUCACCAUUUUUGUAAAAUAAUGUAUCAAUAAUUAUGAUAAGGAUUUAUUUGGGUAUGGAUAUUGUCUAGAAGAUAAUAUUUGUAUUUAAACUUACAGUUUUUAUGAUGUAUUAAUAAAGUUGUAGUUGUUUCUAUACCAUGUUAUUGACGACCUAAAAUGGGUGAUGUAUACCUAUUUUGGGGGCAUCACAGUUUUCGGAGCCUAAUUUCAUUGAAAACGGGUCAACGAUCAAAAGUCACUAGAUUUGCUGGUGAACUGCAGGGUUUUUUUGGUUCAAAUUCCAUUAUUUAGG